GCAUGGCUUAAAAAGAGCGGCACGCCAAGCAGCUCCGGGGAGAAUAGAUGUGAGCUUGCGCAGACGAGCCAAACGGGCUCCGCUGAGGCCGGAAUUGGGUAACGAAGGUCCUGCCGAGAAGCCAAAGGAACGCGGUUUGUAGGUUGGCAGGAGCUGAGGCAAGGACGGGAGCUCACUCCAUCGCAUGGUUCAAGUCUCGAACCAGGGCUUUCCAGCUGACGAUAGAUACUACUUCGGUGGGAAGGUAACAGCACUCCAUGAUGUCAUGCUGGCCACUUGACUAUGGAAAUGUCUUUAGACAGCGCUGGCUCAAUGGCCUUGAAACAGAGAUGAACACACACAAUCCAUAGUUGUCAACUAUUAGUGGAGUAAAAUCCUUUAGCUUUAGCUUUUAUGUCAGGAUGACUUUUGAAAACAGGAAGAAGAGAUGCAGCCUACACACCCAUCAUGUAAAAGUUAUCUCAGUCCCCUGAAGGAAAAAGGGUUGUGUGAAGAAGCAUCUCAGAAGGACCCUCCCUAAUUUUCUGAAAAGUAAAAGAAGGGAGUAGGGCUUUCUGACUAGCAAGCUUCUGUUACUUGUAAUCUUACAAUAAAAGUAGUGUUAAUACUC